UACCAGAUCUUGAACGUUUCU
ensembl:piRNA 21ur-3511 ncRNA